CGCCGCCGCCGCCGCCGGGCACCCAGCCCCAGGGGGGCGGGCUGGAGGGAGGGGGCGGGCGCUGGCCGGGGGACCCCCGCAACCAUGGCGGGCGGGGAGUGGGCUGCCGAGCCGCUUCACCUGCCGCAGAGGGGGCGGCCGGCGCCGCUUCACCUGCCGGAGCGGGAGGCCACCGAGGCGAGGCCGAGGCGGCGGCGCGCUCGGCGGCGCCUCCGGGUCCUAGAACCGCAUCCUCCCGCUCGCCUCGGGCGAGGGAUUGGCCGGGUCUGGGUGAAGGGGAUCACGGCCUGGGGAUUGGAGGGGCACAUCUUCUCCGCACCGAGGAUCUCAGCGACUGCGAGCACGGCUCGGAGACCCACGGUGGUGCAGCGUUGGGGCGCCAGGGCUGCGUUCCCGUCUCGCGUCCCGGACUGAGAAGAAAUACUUUCAGAGCUCUUUCAUUCAUCCUGACAAUGGCCAGAGAAGAGCCACUGACAAGACUUUAAGCAAGAGACGGAGAGUUAACAUCUAAUCUGGAGGAAGACCCUGGAAGGAGCCAGCCCCUUCCCCCAGGCUGACCUGGUUUAAGCCUUUCUUCUGCCAAGGUCACCAGCACCCCAGAUGGGUGAGAGAUGUGAUCACUGGUUUCGUGGCCUGACCAAGGACCUCCAAGGAGGUAUCUUUCCCAUCUUGGCCCACAGAGGAGGAAAUCCUAGAAGGGAUGACUGAAGCUUGGGACUAACACAUUGGUGGAUCUGUGCUACCCCCUGCUGGCCGUAGACGGUAUGACAGCCAAGAUAGGGCAAGGCUUCGAGGGGCGAUGGAUGGAUUCACCGCAGCGGCGACAUUUCUGGACUGUUGUCACCUUCAGUGCAGUCACUGGGAAUAUUCAGAACCCAGGUGAUUGAUAAGGUUUUCCCAGGGAUCUCUUCUCUCCCCUUCACCAUUACUCAGUAGGAGCUUCCUUAAAAACGGAAAACGAGAGGCCGGGCGCGGUGGCUCACGCCUGUAAUCCCAAAAAGACAGCAUGGUGGUAUAUGAAUGUAGUCCCAUCUACUCAGGAAGCUGAGGUGGGAGGAUUGCUUGAGCCAGGGAAGUUGAGGCUGCAGUAAGCUGUGAUUGUGCCACCACACUCCAGCCUGUGUGACAGAGCAAGACCCCAUCUAAAAAAAAAAAAAAAGGCCAGGCACGAUGGCUCACACAUGUAAUCCCAGCACUUUGGGAGGCCGAGGACCGUGGAUCACCUGAGGUUGGGAGCUCAAGACCAGCCUGACCAACAUAGAGAAACCUCAUCUCUACUAAAAACACAAAAUUAGCUGGGUGUGGUGGCACAUGCCUAUAAUCCCAGCUACUCAGAAGACUGAGGCAGAAGAACCACUUGAACCCAGGAGGCGGAGGUUGCGGUGAGCCAAGAUAGUGCCAUUGCACUUCAGCCUGGGUAACAAGAGCGAAACUCUGUCUCAAAAAAAAAAAUGUGGUUCAGAACAGUAUACAUAGUAUGUCAUCUUUUUUGAAAGAAAAAAGUGCUGGGAUUACAGGUGUGAGCCACUGCACCCAACCCAACGCUAUCCUUUCUAUGUAACUCACUAGAGGACAGCCCCAGGGAGUGGACCAGCAAAGACCGCAUGAGCCAUACCCCAGUGACACAGGCUCCCAAACCCGGCCAUGUAUCACAAUCAGAAUCUGGGGGGAGUACGGUCAGGGAUCUGUGUCUUUUAAAGUCCUCCAGGUAAUUCAGUCAGUUACUGACCUGUCCUUGUCAAUGCUUCCCAGUGAAGAGAGUACAGGCUACAUGUCCCAGGUACAUAUCCCUUCCCUUUAGACAGCAGUCAUCACUGACGUCUUCUGAGUACCAGUGCUGUGCCAGACACUGAGGCAUUCUACGUGUUACUGUAAGGCAAACAGCAUCCCGGCAGGGCAGGCCUCGCCAAUGUGCUCACUGAGCUCGGUGUCCUCUGGAGUGACUGACUUAUUCAAUGUCAUAUUGCUGGUAAAUGUCAGAACUAGGAUCUGAAUGCAGUCAUAAACUCCCUGAGCCUCUGUUUUCUUCUCUGAAAAAAAAAAAAAAUGGUGACAUGAUUUUAUUGAAUUGUUUUGAAUGUUCAAUACAAUUUUAUGUAAAGCACUUAGCAGAGACUUUUAUUUCCAGCAAUAAGGUGGACUAUAUAUGUUCAGAAAAACUCUUGUGUACAAAACAGCUAGAAAUGCUA
rnacentral:lncRNA from 1 species